GAUGAACGCUAGCUACAGGCUUAACACAUGCAAGUCGAGGGGCAUCAUUAUCGAAGCUUGCUUUGAUAGAUGGCGACCGGCGCACGGGUGAGUAACGCGUAUCCAACCUUCCCCUUAGUAGAGGAUAGCCCGGCGAAAGUCGGAUUAAUACUCUAUGUUGUAUUUUGAGGACAUCUGACGAAUACCAAAGAUUUAUCGCUAAGGGAUGGGGAUGCGUCUGAUUAGCUUGUCGGCGGGGUAACGGCCCACCGAGGCGACGAUCAGUAGGGGUUCUGAGAGGAAGGUCCCCCACAUUGGUACUGAGACACGGACCAAACUCC
rnacentral:rRNA from 1 species